rnacentral:rRNA from 1 species
AACGAACGCUGGCGGCGUGCUUAACACAUGCAAGUCGAACGGGUUCAUUUUGAGUAGCAAUACUUGAGAUGAAUUAGUGGCGGACGGGUGAGUAACACGUAGGUAACCUACCCUUGAGAGAGGGACAACCCAGGGAAGUAACCUACCCUUGAGAGAGGGACAACCCAGGGAAACUUGGGCUAAUACCUCAUAAGACCACGGUGUGAGAAUACUGUGGUAAAAGUAGCAAUACGCUUAAGGACGGGCCUGCGGCCUAUCAGGUAGUUGGUGAGGUAAAGGCUCACCAAGCCAAAGACGGGUAGCCGGGCUGAGAGGUUGAACGGCCACACUGGAACUGAGACACGGUCCAGACUCCUACGGGAGGCAGCAGUGAGGAAUAUUGCACAAUGGAGGAAACUCUGAUGCAGCAACGCCGCGUGGAGGAUGACGCAUUUCGGUGUGUAAACUCCUUUUAAGAGGGAAGAUAAUGACGGUACCUCUUGAAUAAGCACCGGCUAACUCCGUGCCAGCAGCCGCGGUAAUACGGAGGGUGCAAGCGUUACUCGGAAUCACUGGGCGUAAAGGGUGCGUAGGCUGGCUUCUAAGUCAGAUGUGAAAUCCAAUGGCUUAACCAUUGAACUGCAUUUGAAACUGGGAGCCUAGAGUUCAGAAGGGGCAGAUGGAAUUAGUGGUGUAGGGGUAAAAUCCGUAGAUAUCACUAGGAAUAUCAAAAGCGAAGGCGAUCUGCUGGGAUGAUACUGACGCUGAGGCACGAAAGCGUGGGGAGCAAACAGGAUUAGAUACCCUGGUAGUCCACGCCCUAAACGAUGAAUGCUAGUCGUCGGGGAGCUCGUCUCUUCGGUGAUGCACUUAACAGAUUAAGCAUUCCGCCUGGGGAGUACGGUCGCAAGAUUAAAACUCAAAGGAAUAGACGGGGACCCGCACAAGUGGUGGAGCAUGUGGUUUAAUUCGAAGAUACACGAAGAACCUUACCUGGCCUUGACAUGGUAGGAACCCUUAAGAGAUUAGGGGGUGCUAGCUUGCUAGAACCUACACACAGGUGCUGCACGGCUGUCGUCAGCUCGUGUCGUGAGAUGUUGGGUUAAGUCCCGCAACGAGCGCAACCCUCGUCCUUAGUUGCUAACAGUUUGGCUGAGCACUCUAAGGAGACUGCCUUCGUAAGGAGGAGGAAGGUGAGGACGACGUCAAGUCAUCAUGGCCCUUACGGCCAGGGCUACACACGUGCUACAAUGGGGCGUACAGAGAGCUGCAAUACCGCGAGGUGGAGCCAAUCUCUUAAAGCGUCUCUCAGUUCGGAUUGUUCUCUGCAACUCGAGAACAUGAAGCUGGAAUCACUAGUAAUCGUAGAUCAGCUAUGCUACGGUGAAUACGUUCCCGGGUCUUGUACUCACCGCCCGUCACACCAUGGGAGUUGAUUUCACCCGAAAUCGGGAUGCCAAACCGGCUACCGCUUACGGUGGAAUUAGCGACUGGGGUG